rnacentral:rRNA from 1 species
AUUGAACGCUGGCGGCAGGCUUAACACAUGCAAGUCGAGCGGGGUGAUGGUGCUUGCACUAUCACUUAGCGGCGGACGGGUGGGUAAUGCUUAGGAAUCUGCCACUUAGUGGGGGACAACAUCUCGAAAGGGAUGCUAAUACUGCAUACGUCCUACGGGAGAAAGCAGGGCAUCACUAGUGACCUUGCGCUAAUAGAUGAGCCUAAGUCGGAGUAGCUAGUUGGUGGGGUAAAGGCCUACCAAGGCGACGAUCUGUAGCGGGUCUGAGAGGAUGAUCCGCCACACUGGGACUGAGACACGGCCCAGACUCCUACGGGAGGCAGCAGUGGGGAAUAUUGGACAAUGGGGGGAACCCUGAUCCAGCCAUGCCGCGUGUGUGAAGAAGGCCUUAUGGUUGUAGAGCACUUUAAGCGAGGAGGAGGCUCUUUUGGUUAAUACCCAAGAUGAGUGGACGUUACUCGCAGAAUAAGCACCGGCUAACUCUGUGCCAGCAGCCGCCGUAA